UCUGGUUGAUCCUGCCAGCCAUAUAUGCUUGUCUCAAAGACUAAGCCAUGCAUGUCUAAGUAUAAAUAGUAUACAGUGAAACUGCGAAUGGCUCAUUAAAACAGUUAUAGUUUAUUUGAUAAUGUUUUUCUACAUGGAUAACCGUGGUAAUUCUAGAGCUAAUACAUGCUGUUUACCUGACUUCAUGGAAAGGUUGUAUUUAUUAGAUAUCAAACCAAUAGCGGCAACGUUAUUGUGGUGAAUCAUAGUAACUGAUCGAAUCGCAGUCAACCUGCGAUGGGUCAUUCAAGUUUCUGCCCUAUCAGCUUUCGAUGGUAGUGUAUUGGACUACCAUGGCAAUCACGGGUAACGGAGAAUUAGGGUUCGAUUCCGGAGAGGGAGCCUGAGAAACGGCUACCACAUCUAAGGAAGGCAGCAGGCGCGUAAAUUACCCAAUCCUGACUCAGGGAGGUAGUGACAAGAAAUAACAAAUUGGGGGCUGUCAUGCCUUACGAUAUUGCAAUGACAACAAUUUAAAUUACUUAAGGAGGAACAAUUGGAGGGCAAGUCUGGUGCCAGCAGCCGCGGUAAUUCCAGCUCCAAUAGCGUAUAUUAAAGUUGUUGCAGUUAAAAAGCUCGUAGUUGUACUUCUGGUCGCCUGAUUGGAAUCUCGGUUUCUCUCAGACGGCCAUCCGUCUGCAAACCACUUUUGUACUUCACUGUAUGGGGUGGGGAGUAGACAAUUUACUUUGAAAAAAUUAGAGUGUUUCAGGCAGGUUUCCGCCCGAAUACAUUAGCAUGGAAUAAUGGAAUAGGAUGAGUAUCCAUUUUAUUGGUUAUUGGAUAUUUAUAAUGAUAAAUAGAAACAGUUGGGGGCAUUAGUAUUUAAUUGUCAGAGGUGAAAUUCUUGGAAUUAUUAAAGACUAACUUAUGCGAAAGCAUUUGCCAAGGAUGUUUUCAUUGAUCAAGAACGAAAGUUAGGGGAUCAAAGACGAUCAGAUACCGUCGAAGUCUUAACUAUAAACUAUACCGACUCGGGAUCAGCAAAACACUAUACUUUUGUUGGCACCGUAUGAGAAAUCAAAGUCUUUGGGUUCUGGGGGGAGUAUGGUCGCAAGGCUGAAACUUAAAGGAAUUGACGGAAAGGCACCACCAGGAGUGGAUUAUGCGGCUUAAUUUGACCCAACACGGGGAAACUUACCAGGUCAAAACAUGAAUGGGAUUGACAGAUUGAGAGCUCUUUCUUGAUUUUGUGGGUGGUGGUGCAUGGCCGUUCUUAGUUGGUGGAGUGAUUUGUCUGGUUAAUUCCGAUAACGAACGAGACCUUAACCUGCUAAAUAGUUUCCUGAUCAACAAUUGGGAUAACUUCUUAGAGGGACUAUGAGAUGGAAGCUCAUGGAAGUUUGAGGCAAUAACAGGUCUGUGAUGCCCUUAGAUGUCCUGGGCCGCACGCGCAAUACAAUGACACGUUCAGCAAGUUUUAUCCUGGCUCGAUAGAGUUUCGGGUAAUCUUUUCAGUACGUGUCGUAUUAGGGAUAGAUC
rnacentral:rRNA from 1 species